UACGUAGGGUCCAAGCGUUAAUCGGAAUUACUGGGCGUAAAGCGUGCGCAGGCGGUUGUGUAAGUCAGAUGUGAAAUCCCCGGGCUCAACCUGGGAAUGGCAAUGGAUACUGGCUGGCUAGAGUGUGUCAGAGGAUGGUGGAAUUCCCGGUGUAGCGGUGAAAUGCGUAGAGAUCGGGAGGAACAUCAGUGGCGAAGGCGGCCAUCUGGGACAACACUGACGCUGAAGCACGAAAGCGUGGGGAGCAAACAGG
rnacentral:rRNA from 1 species